UGCCCAGCUUGCUGGGUGGAUUAGUGGCGAACGGGUGAGUAACACGUGAGUAACCUGCCCCUGACUUCGGGAUAACUACGAGAAAUCGUGGCUAAUACCGGAUAUGCACAUGUGCCUGCAUGGGUGUGUGUGGAAAGAUUUAUCGGUUGGGGAUGGGCUCGCGGCCUAUCAGCUUGUUGGUGGGGUGAUGGCCUACCAAGGCGACGACGGGUAGCCGGCCUGAGAGGGUGACCGGCCACACUGGGACUGAGACACGGCCCAGACUCCUACGGGAGGCAGCAGUGGGGAAUAUUGCACAAUGGGCGAAAGCCUGAUGCAGCGACGCCGCGUGAGGGAUGACGGCCUUCGGGUUGUAAACCUCUUUCAGUAGGGAAGAAGCUCUUCGGAGUGACGGUACCUGCAGAAGAAGCGCCGGCUAACUACGUGCCAGCAGCCGCGGUAAUACGUAGGGCGCAAGCGUUGUCCGGAAUUAUUGGGCGUAAAGAGCUCGUAGGCGGUUUGUCGCGUCUGCUGUGAAAACGCAAGGCUUAACCUUGCGCCUGCAGUGGGUACGGGCAGACUAGAGUGCGGUAGGGGAGACUGGAAUUCCUGGUGUAGCGGUGGAAUGCGCAGAUAUCAGGAGGAACACCGAUGGCGAAGGCAGGUCUCUGGGCCGUUACUGACGCUGAGGAGCGAAAGCAUGGGGAGCGAACAGGAUUAGAUACCCUGGUAGUCCAUGCCGUAAACGUUGGGCACUAGGUGUGGGAUCCAUUCCACGGGUUCCGUGCCGCAGCUAACGCAUUAAGUGCCCCGCCUGGGGAGUACGGCCGCAAGGCUAAAACUCAAAGGAAUUGACGGGGGCCCGCACAAGCGGCGGAGCAUGCGGAUUAAUUCGAUGCAACGCGAAGAACCUUACCAAGGCUUGACAUACACCGGAAAAGUGCAGAGAUGUGCUCCCCGUAAGGUCGGUGUACAGGUGGUGCAUGGUUGUCGUCAGCUCGUGUCGUGAGAUGUUGGGUUAAGUCCCGCAACGAGCGCAACCCUUGUCCUGUGUUGCCAGCGGGUUAUGCCGGGGACUCAUGGGAGACUGCCGGGGUCAACUCGGAGGAAGGUGGGGAUGACGUCAAAUCAUCAUGCCCCUUAUGUCUUGGGCUUCACGCAUGCUACAAUGGCCGGUACAAAGGGCUGCGAUACCGCGAGGUGGAGCGAAUCCCAAAAAGCCGGUCUCAGUUCGGAUUGGGGUCUGCAACUCGACCCCAUGAAGUCGGAGUCGCUAGUAAUCGCAGAUCAGCAACGCUGCGGUGAAUACGUUCUCGGGCCUUGUACACACCGCCCGUCACGUCAUGAAAGUCGGUAACACCCGAAGCC
rnacentral:rRNA from 1 species